rnacentral:rRNA from 1 species
UCGAGAAUCUUCCGCAAUGGGCGAAAGCCUGACGGAGCGACACCGCGUGCAGGACGAAGGCCCUCGGGUUGUAAACUGCUGUCACGCUCUAGGAAUCCCGUGUUGUGAAUAGCAGCACGGUUGACUAAGGCGAGAGGAAGUGGCGGCUAACUCUGUGCCAGCAGCCGCGGUAAGACAGAGGCCACGAACGUUGUUCGGAAUCACUGGGCAUAAAGCGCACGUAGGCGGCUAGGUCCGUCCGAUGUGAAAGCCCCCGGCUCAACCGGGGAAUAGCAUCGGAUACAGCCUGGCUUGAGGACGGUUGGGGUGAGUGGAACUCCUGGUGGAGCGGUGAAAUGCGUAGAUAUCAGGAGGAACACCGGUGGCGAAAGCGGCUCACUGGACCGUUACUGACGCUGAGGUGCGAAAGCUAGGGGAGCAAACGGGNUUAGAUACCCCUGUAGUCCCUGAGCGGGCUGGCAAGGCGCAU